GUUCAACAUUCAGUGCAAACAUUCAUUACCAACAUGUAAUGAACAUGUACCAACAUGUGUGAAAAAAGUACUAUUAUAAGCAGUUACUUUUUCAGUAUCGUAUUGAUAUCACAGCAGUGUCCUGGCAGAAAACAACAGAUGACACCACGGCGCUACAACAAGGCCAAACUCACAGUAGGAAAGCUUUUAUUUACAAAGUAGCGAAUCUCCACAUGAACACAAGUGUCAUAUUUGUUUCUUAGAGAAAGCGGUCUGUCUUUUUCAUAAUGCCAAAACAUGUAGGAUGAGAUUUCUUAUUGUAUUUUUAUUACAUCUGAUGUUAUAAACUCUUAAAAAUACUCUUAUCUUCUUUUAUUUUUUCAGACAUGCAAAAUGGCUCAGCCUUAACAGCCAGGCCUCAAACCUCGCUGCCGAGGCGAUCUUCCAGAGUCCACCAGGACGAAGUGAAAUUCAUACAGCAAGGCAGAGUGUGAUAAGCAGAAGAGAUAUACAACAUGGCGGACAUGAUCUUCAAUAUGAGGACACAGGGACGGGAAGAAGCCGACUGUGGUGAGGUGGAGACCCCAAGUUCCCUCAUCCAGGAGCUCAGUGACCUCAGGUCUACACUACAGGAGAGACGUCGGGUCUGUCCUGAACGCAGCACAAUGUUGGAUCAUGUUUGGACAAAAAAAACAAAAAAACACUGCCAGAUGCUCCA